rnacentral:snRNA from 1 species
AGCUUUGUGCAGUGGCAGCAACGUAGCCACUGAGGUUUAUCUGAGGUGUGAUUAUUGCUAAUUUUGAGACAAGGUCUCACUAAGUUCCCAGGAGGGAUUUGAACUUGUGAUCCUCCUACCUCACCCUCCCAAGCAGUACAAUUACAGGU